UACGAAGGGAGCUAGCGUUGUUCGGAAUCACUGGGCGUAAAGCGUCUGUAGGUGGUUUAAUAAGUCAACUGUUAAAUCUUGAGGCUCAACCUCAAAAUCGCAGUCGAAACUAUUAGGCUAGAGUAUAGUAGGGGUAAAGGGAAUUUCCAGUGGAGCGGUGAAAUGCGUAGAGAUUGGAAAGAACACCGAUGGCGAAGGCACUUUACUGGGCUAUUACUAACACUCAGAGACGAAAGCUAGGGUAGCAAAUGGG
rnacentral:rRNA from 1 species